rnacentral:rRNA from 1 species
GGGUUGUGAGGUUAAGCGACUAAGCGUACACGGUGGAUGCCCUGGCAGUCAGAGGCGAUGAAGGACGUGCUAAUCUGCGAUAAGCGUCGGUAAGGUGAUAUGAACCGUUAUAACCGGCGAUUUCCGAAUGGGGAAACCCAGUGUGUUUCGACACACUAUCAUUAACUGAAUCCAUAGGUUAAUGAGGCGAACCGGGGGAACUGAAACAUCUAAGUACCCCGAGGAAAAGAAAUCAACCGAGAUUCCCCCAGUAGCGGCGAGCGAACGGGGAGGAGCCCAGAGCCUGAAUCAGUGUGUGUGUUAGUGGAAGCGUCUGGAAAGGCGCGCGAUACAGGGUGACAGCCCCGUACACAAAAAUGCACAUGCUGUGAGCUCGAUGAGUAGGGCGGGACACGUGGUAUCCUGUCUGAAUAUGGGGGGACCAUCCUCCAAGGCUAAAUACUCCUGACUGACCGAUAGUGAACCAGUACCGUGAGGGAAAGGCGAAAAGAACCCCGGCGAGGGGAGUGAAAAAGAACCUGAAACCGUGUACGUACAAGCAGUGGGAGCCUCUUUAUGGGGUGACUGCGUACCUUUUGUAUAAUGGGUCAGCGACUUAUAUUCUGUAGCAAGGUUAACCGAAUAGGGGAGCCGAAGGGAAACCGAGUCUUAACUGGGCGUUAAGUUGCAGGGUAUAGACCCGAAACCCGGUGAUCUAGCCAUGGGCAGGUUGAAGGUUGGGUAACACUAACUGGAGGACCGAACCGACUAAUGUUGAAAAAUUAGCGGAUGACUUGUGGCUGGGGGUGAAAGGCCAAUCAAACCGGGAGAUAGCUGGUUCUCCCCGAAAGCUAUUUAGGUAGCGCCUCGUGAAUUCAUCUCCGGGGGUAGAGCACUGUUUCGGCAAGGGGGUCAUCCCGACUUACCAACCCGAUGCAAACUGCGAAUACCGGAGAAUGUUAUCACGGGAGACACACGGCGGGUGCUAACGUCCGUCGUGAAGAGGGAAACAACCCAGACCGCCAGCUAAGGUCCCAAAGUCAUGGUUAAGUGGGAAACGAUGUGGGAAGGCCCAGACAGCCAGGAUGUUGGCUUAGAAGCAGCCAUCAUUUAAAGAAAGCGUAAUAGCUCACUGGUCGAGUCGGCCUGCGCGGAAGAUGUAACGGGGCUAAACCAUGCACCGAAGCUGCGGCAGCGACACUAUGUGUUGUUGGGUAGGGGAGCGUUCUGUAAGCCUGUGAAGGUGUGCUGUGAGGCAUGCUGGAGGUAUCAGAAGUGCGAAUGCUGACAUAAGUAACGAUAAAGCGGGUGAAAAGCCCGCUCGCCGGAAGACCAAGGGUUCCUGUCCAACGUUAAUCGGGGCAGGGUGAGUCGACCCCUAAGGCGAGGCCGAAAGGCGUAGUCGAUGGGAAACAGGUUAAUAUUCCUGUACUUGGUGUUACUGCGAAGGGGGGACGGAGAAGGCUAUGUUGGCCGGGCGACGGUUGUCCCGGUUUAAGCGUGUAGGCUGGUUUUCCAGGCAAAUCCGGAAAAUCAAGGCUGAGGCGUGAUGACGAGGCACUACGGUGCUGAAGCAACAAAUGCCCUGCUUCCAGGAAAAGCCUCUAAGCAUCAGGUAACAUCAAAUCGUACCCCAAACCGACACAGGUGGUCAGGUAGAGAAUACCAAGGCGCUUGAGAGAACUCGGGUGAAGGAACUAGGCAAAAUGGUGCCGUAACUUCGGGAGAAGGCACGCUGAUAUGUAGGUGAAGCGACUUGCUCGUGGAGCUGAAAUCAGUCGAAGAUACCAGCUGGCUGCAACUGUUUAUUAAAAACACAGCACUGUGCAAACACGAAAGUGGACGUAUACGGUGUGACGCCUGCCCGGUGCCGGAAGGUUAAUUGAUGGGGUUAGCGCAAGCGAAGCUCUUGAUCGAAGCCCCGGUAAACGGCGGCCGUAACUAUAACGGUCCUAAGGUAGCGAAAUUCCUUGUCGGGUAAGUUCCGACCUGCACGAAUGGCGUAAUGAUGGCCAGGCUGUCUCCACCCGAGACUCAGUGAAAUUGAACUCGCUGUGAAGAUGCAGUGUACCCGCGGCAAGACGGAAAGACCCCGUGAACCUUUACUAUAGCUUGACACUGAACAUUGAGCCUUGAUGUGUAGGAUAGGUGGGAGGCUUUGAAGUGUGGACGCCAGUCUGCAUGGAGCCGACCUUGAAAUACCACCCUUUAAUGUUUGAUGUUCUAACGUUGACCCGUGAUCCGGGUUGCGGACAGUGUCUGGUGGGUAGUUUGACUGGGGCGGUCUCCUCCUAAAGAGUAACGGAGGAGCACGAAGGUUGGCUAAUCCUGGUCGGACAUCAGGAGGUUAGUGCAAUGGCAUAAGCCAGCUUGACUGCGAGCGUGACGGCGCGAGCAGGUGCGAAAGCAGGUCAUAGUGAUCCGGUGGUUCUGAAUGGAAGGGCCAUCGCUCAACGGAUAAAAGGUACUCCGGGGAUAACAGGCUGAUACCGCCCAAGAGUUCAUAUCGACGGCGGUGUUUGGCACCUCGAUGUCGGCUCAUCACAUCCUGGGGCUGAAGUAGGUCCCAAGGGUAUGGCUGUUCGCCAUUUAAAGUGGUACGCGAGCUGGGUUUAGAACGUCGUGAGACAGUUCGGUCCCUAUCUGCCGUGGGCGCUGGAGAACUGAGGGGGGCUGCUCCUAGUACGAGAGGACCGGAGUGGACGCAUCACUGGUGUUCGGGUUGUCAUGCCAAUGGCACUGCCCGGUAGCUAAAUGCGGAAGAGAUAAGUGCUGAAAGCAUCUAAGCACGAAACUUGCCCCGAGAUGAGUUCUCCCUGACUCCUUGAGAGUCCUGAAGGAACGUUGAAGACGACGACGUUGAUAGGCCGGGUGUGUAAGCGCAGCGAUGCGUUGAGCUAACCGGUACUAAUGAACCGUGAGGCUUAACCUUACAACGCCGAAGCUGUU